CUCGGGCCGGGGCUACCGGGCCCGCAGUUGCCGGGCAGCUGCCCCGAGGCCGGUCCGCCCCGGGCACCGCGCCCCACGGCCGGCCUCGCCGCGGGGUUUGCGUAGAAGCGAGCGGGGAGGAGAGGGGAGAGGGGAGAGGCAGCAGCGGAGGUACCGAGCCCUCCCGAGCGUCGCAGCAGUACGGGCCGUGCAACAUUGAGACUAUUAAUCCCCCGGGGGAGGAGGCCAUGAGUACAGGUAUCCGGAGGUGAAACCACUCAGGGUUUGUGCAAAGUAUUUGCCUAAUUUAUCCGUGGCUGCGCUUGUCUGUGAGAUAGGGCAGCCUACCACAUCAUGGAGCUAGCAAGGAUAAAUUAAUUCAGCAGCUACCUGUAGCUACCAGGGAAAACUCCACGCCAGCGUUAAAGCCAAGCUUGUCCACGCAGUGCUUCAGCGGGCACUGAGGGGUGUGGAACCGAUCACCAACCUCUGAGAGCAAAGAAUACAGCUGGUAGAGCCAUUACUUGAUAACUAACAUCCCUUCCGAGCACUGAUUAAAGAAUCCACACUGCAGGAAAAAAAACCACAACAGUGUGAUCACACAUUGCAAUUAAAGCAUGCACAGAGGGCAAAAUUCAGAUUGCACAGGCGACUAAUUCCAGGGUUUAACUAUAUGACCCUCCUAACAUUCUUUUAGCUUGAAAAGACUCUAAUUACAACAUACAGUAAAACAGUUGCUUAGGUAAACAAUUCCUCGAUAAAGCUGCUGAAUAAAAAAAGUUUUCCACUGGCUCUGGAAAGAUAGUUUCUGAACUAGAGGCUUUCUACAACAUACUCUACUCCCCAGAAAGGAUGAGCCAACUAUAGGGGUUACUUUUUUUUUUUGAUAGGUUGCUCCCCACUUUCCCACCCCCAAAAAGAUGCUGAGAUUGGGAACGUGGGGUCUGAGCACAGCAUGUACCACAGUAUCAAGACAUAGGAUGCAGAGUUCGCAUUUGGGCUUAUGUAAAUGAAUAAAGAAGUGACCUCUCACUCCCACUUGCUGAGAGCAUCAACAUACACAGCUUCAAAGGUGGUUUUGAAAACUGUCAGAGCUUAAAUUGGAGCCCAGGGGCCUCUGCCUCAAACAAAAGAGCAACUAGGAACUAUUGGGAGAGCUAUUGAACUUCGAGAGGGUUCAUAGUCAGAAAAUAUUUGCUCUAGCUUUGAUUCAUAUCUGUUCUCUCUAUUGGCAAACAUGAGUUAAAAGCUUGUGAACUGACACAGUAAUGAAAGAAUGAGCUAGUGUGGUCUCAUAUGUUCUGUGUGCAUUGUCAGCAAAUUUAACUACAGCAAAAAUCUUUCUGGUGAUAAUGCAAGACACAGAAAGAGCCCAGAAAGCAAUGACAUCUCAGGUGGAGCAGAGGCUGCAACAAGAAAAAUCCAAGCCUGAGUGGAGAACAAAAGUGAUCAUUAAUUUGUAGAUGUUAACAUGAUGCAAAGUUUUGAGGCCAAAUUCUUUAAGGCUUCUAAUCAAUCAAGAGGAAAAAUCUAACAUCUGAGUACUUUAGGUACUCUCAGUAUCAAAGAUAAAACAGGGUGGGUGUAAUUCCCUUGAGCAUGAGUAGGAACUGCUUGGUGGUUGCUGGAAUCUGAUGUCACAUCCCAGCUCUAACAGAAGGAACCUCUGGCCUUGAGUAAGCCCUUGCUUCAUCAGCACUGGUGUUUCACAGGCAGAUCACCUUCUUGACAAACUUCUGAAAUGUAAGCAAUUUCUUUACAACGAUGUGGCUUAACCCUACGUUCCACGUGCUUCAGCCUCUGUGUCUGCUGAACCACAGGCUGAGGAAGCUUUCCUGCUAAAGCUCUCCAAGAUGUCUCACUGCAUCCUUUCUGUAGUUUUCAUAUUUGUUCCUAAGCCCAUUCUCCUCAGACAUGAUAAUCUGCAAUCAUCAUGAACUACAAUACACAACUGCCAAUUUAAGAAUUUUGUAUCUGUUGCAAUUUUUUUUUUAAAUGGCAUCUGGCACAAUAAUUGUAAUAAAAUACAUUGCUAAUAU